UUACUGUACAUGUGCUGGUUGUUAUGCUUGUUAUAGUUAUUGGCUGUUUUUUGUGUUCUGUUUGUGUUAAAAGUUAAUGUGUAUGUUGUCUAUUUUUUUUAUUAAAAUGUUGAUGUAGC